AAGCUACACACACACACACACACACACACACACACACACACACACACACACACACACACACACACACACUUUAUUAUGUUAAUUCUGGUUGAGAGCAGUUCAUACUAAACAAACCAUGUUUAUAAAGCGUAUUCAUUCCAUUUGGAGGACAAGGAGAAAAGAGGACAAGGAGAACAGGAAGAGGAAGUGGGGAGACGACAUCAUCACAGACAUCAGAACUUCCUUGACUUGGACAAAUGCUCUUUUCUCUAUAGCUACAACUCAAUGAGAUAUUGUUCGGUUAGAGUAAGGAGCGUACCCGAUGUGUUUGGUACGCUGAGACCGUUUCCUCACAGGUUCUAACAUUGUGUAGAACCAGGGAGAGUUUUGUCAGCAGGCAUGACUCUCCCACAGUUCCGGACAUGAGCAGAACAACACCAAACUAAUGUGAAGUUAAUAAAGUCCAUCUUUAAUGUUCAAUAUGAUUCACUUUACCACGGCCAGUGAAGCUCUAUGGUGAUGUAUACAUUAUAUUCAGAUCACAGCACGGCUAAAGCCUCAUCCCCAUGUCUACACUAAUGACAACUCCUCAGCUCACAUCAGCUGACCAGAGUUACGUAACAUGUAACAAACAUAACAUACUAGUAGUUAACAGGUCAACCCCUAACCCUCAAAUCAGCUGACCAGAGCUACAUAACAUAUAACAUACAUAACAUACUAUUAGUUUACAGGUCAACCCCUAACCCUAACAUCAGCUGACCAGAGCUACAUAACAUAUAACAAACAUAACAUAC